rnacentral:rRNA from 1 species
UAACUGGGCGUAAAGGGCACGCAGGCGGUGACUUAAGUGAGGUGUGAAAGCCCCGGGCUUAACCUGGGAAUUGCAUUUCAUACUGGGUCGCUAGAGUACUUUAGGGAGGGGUAGAAUUCCACGUGUAGCGGUGAAAUGCGUAGAGAUGUGGAGGAAUACCGAAGGCGAAGGCAGCCCCUUGGGAAUGUACUGACGCUCAUGUGCGAAAGCGUGGGGAGCAAACAGGAUUAGAUACCCUGGUAGUCCACGCUGUAAACGAUGUCGAUUUGGGGGUUGGGCUUUAAGCUUGGCGCCCGUAGCUAACGUGAUAAAUCGACCGCCUGGGGAGUACGGCCGCAAGGUCAAAACUCAAAUGAAUUGACGGGGGCCCGCACAAGCGGUGGAGCAUGUAGUUUAAUUCGAUGCAACGCGAAGAACCUUACCUACUCUUGACAUCCAGAGAACUUUCCAGAGAUGGAUUGGUGCCUUCGGGAACUCUGAGACAGGUGCUGCAUGGCUGUCGUCAGCUCGUGUCGUGAG